rnacentral:rRNA from 1 species
UGGGGAAUAUUGGACAAUGGGCGCAAGCCUGAUCCAGCCAUGCCGCGUGUGUGAAGAAGGCCUUUUGGUUGUAAAGCACUUUAAGCGAGGAGGAGGCUACUUGGAUUAAUACUCUAGGAUAGUGGACGUUACUCGCAGAAUAAGCACCGGCUAACUCUGUGCCAGCAGCCGCGGUAAUUCAGAGGGUGCGAGCGUUAAUCGGAUUUACUGGGCGUAAAGCGUGCGUAGGCGGCUUCUUAAGUCGGAUGUGAAAUCCCUGAGCUUAACUUAGGAAUUGCAUUCGAUACUGGGAAGCUAGAGUAUGGGAGAGGAUGGUAGAAUACCAGGUGGAGCGGUGAAAUGCGUAGAGAUCUGGAGGAAUACCGAUGGCGAAGGCAGCCAUCUGGCCUAAUACUAACGCUGAGGUACGAAAGCAUGGGGAGCAAACAGG